AGUGAACGCUGGCGGUAGGCCUAACACAUGCAAGUCGAACGGCAGCACAGUCAGAGCUUGCUCUUACGGGUGGCGAGUGGCGGACGGGUGAGGAAUACAUCGGAAUCUACUUUUUCGAGGGGGAUAACGUAGGGAAACAUACGCUAAUACCGCAUACGACCUACGGGUGAAAGCAGGGGAUCUUCGGCCCUUGCGCGAUUGAAUGAGCCGAUGUCGGAUUAGCUAGUUGGCGGGGUAAAGGCCCACCAAGGCGACGAUCCGUAGCUGGUCUGAGAGGAUGAUCAGCCACACUGGAACUGAGACACGGUCCAGACUCCUACGGGAGGCAGCAGUGGGGAAUAUUGGACAAUGGGCGCAAGCCUGAUCCAGCCAUGCCGCGUGGGUGAAGAAGGCCUUCGGGUUGUAAAGCCCUUUUGUUGGGAAAGAAAAGCAGCAGGUUAAUACCCCGCUGUUCUGACGGUACCCAAAGAAUAAGCACCGGCUAACUUCGUG
rnacentral:rRNA from 1 species